rnacentral:rRNA from 1 species
UAGAGGAAGUAAAAGUCGUAACAAGGUUUCCGUAGGUGAACCUGCGGAAGGAUCAUUACCGAGUUGAUUCGAGCUCCGGCUCGACUCUCCCACCCCAUGUGUACCUACCUCUGUUGCUUUGGCGGGCCGCGGUCCUCCGCACCGACCCCCGUUCGGGGGCCGGCCAGCGCCCGCCAGAGGACCACAAAACUCCAGUCAGUAAACGUCGCAGUCUGAGAAACAAGUUAAUAAACUAAAACUUUCAACAACGGAUCUCUUGGUUCUGGCAUCGAUGAAGAACGCAGCGAAAUGCGAUAAGUAAUGUGAAUUGCAGAAUUCAGUGAAUCAUCGAAUCUUUGAACGCACAUUGCGCCCCUUGGUAUUCCGAGGGGCAUGCCUGUUCGAGCGUCAUUUCAACCCUCAAGCUCUGCUUGGUAUUGGGCUCCGUCCUCCGCGGACGCGCCUCGAAGACCUCGGUGGUGGCGUCUUGCCUCAAGCGUAGUAGAAAACACCUCGCUUUGGAGCGCAUGGCGUCGCCCGCCGGACGAACCUUUGAAUUUUUCUCAAGGUUGAC